ACUGUGAAGAUCAAAUGGAUUAAACUGCAACUAGCCCUUCAAUCUCCUGGGCAACAACCUUAGUAUCCUAACUUAGGAACUAAAAAGAUUAACUAAAAUGAUAUUUUUUUCACAUCUUAAAGAAAUAUCUGCUCUCUUAGUACUUGCUAUCUGUAACUCAAGAACCAGCAGAUCCAGAUAAUGCCGUCCUUGUUACCAUAACCCUCGCCCUGAAGCUAGGAGUCAAACGGAGCUGGAGUGCGCAGGGCCUUGUGUGUGAAAGUGCUGUGUGGACUCAAGUGCUCACAAAUACUGGUUUAUGCGUUCAGUCACAGAACACACGUUUGCUGAGCCCCUACUGCACCAGAAGCAUCCCGGCGAGAGCUGGGAGCACACGGUGAAGGAGAUCCCAGGGUCCCUGCUGCGCCGCGCCCACAGGCGCCCGGCAGAGACUGACAGGUGAAGCCAGGCAGUGUGGCCACAGCUCCCAGAGGCUGCGUCCGGCCUUUCUGCACCCGCAGGGGCGUCUGUGCUGAAGAAAUGGUGCUGCAGGUACGGAGGGCGCGGUGGGAGUGGGAACUGUGUUUGCCCCCUGGAACUUACUUUCUGGCUGGAGGAGUGACUUUCUACAGCUCUGCCACUGAGGAAGACAAGGACUUUGAAAAUAGUUUUAUUUUUCCUUUUUGGUCACAAGGGCCUGGCAAAGGGACAGAGCCCAGGGUUGGUACCAUGUGAGGGCAGCAGGCCCAGAGUUCUCCCUGCUCUGCCCACAAAGAUGUGUGACCCUGAGCAGGUCGUUCUACCCCUGCAGUUCUCAUUUUCAAAUCUUAUAGCAAAACAACCUGUAUAACUGGAUUAAAAAAUGGACAAAGGACUUGAAUAGACAUUUCUCCCAGGAAGAUAUACAAAUGGCCAACAAGCAUACAAAAAAGGGCUCAGCAUCACCCAUCAUUAGAGAAAUGCAAGUCAAACCCACAAUGAGAUAUCACUUUACACCUGUAAAGAUGGCUAGUAUCAAACAAGACCCAAAAACCAAAGGAAAACCAUGAAAGAUAAAGGUUGGCAAAGCUAUGCAGAAAUCGGAAAAUUUAGACUGUGUUGGUGGGAAUAUAAAAUGGUGCAGCCACCAUAGAAAACAGGGUGGAAGUUCCCCCCAAAUUAAAAUAGAACUAUCAUGUGAUCCAUCAAUCCCACUGCUGGCUAUUAAUCUAGGAGAACUGAAGUCAGGGUCUCGAAGAGAUGUCCGCACCACCAUCUUCAUUCAGCAUUGCUCACGACGCCAAGACGUGCAAGCAAACUAACUGUCCGUCAACAAAUGAGUGGAUGCAGAAAGUGUGGCUUCUGUGUGUUUUUACAGCAGUCUGAGUGAACUAAGACACUAGUGAUGGGCUCUUACAGGCAUCACCUUAUUACGUGCCAGCACUCCUCCAUUAUAAACCCAUUUCAAAGUUGUGGCUUCAAGAGGUUACAUUAAGAAACUCAUUCAAGAUCGGGUGGGCAGGCUGCUCUCUGGAAGUCCAAGAUCGAGGUGCCAGGAUAUUCAGCGUCUGCUGAGGGCCUGUGCCUGUGUGUGUGUGUGUGUGUGUGUGUGUGUGUGUGUGUACACACAGUGGAAUAUUACUCAGCUCUGAAAAAAGAAGGGAAUUCUGCCAUUUGUGGCAACCUGGAUGAAUCCUGAGGACAUUAUGCUGAUUGAAAUAAGCCAGACACAGAAAGGCAAACGCUUCGUGAUUUCACUUAGGAGACGUCUAAAACAGUCAGUUCAUAGAAACGGAGUAGAAUAGUGGUUGUCAGAAGCCAGAGGAGGGAGAAAUGGGGAGUUUCUGUUUAAAAGCUGUAAUGUUUCUGUUAUGCAAAAUGAAAAGCUUCUGGAGGUCUCCUGU
ensembl:lncRNA